rnacentral:lncRNA from 1 species
UGUGGCAGGAAGAGAGAGAGCCUUACCAGACAGGCCAGAUUUCCUGAACCAAGAUAUUGUUGCUGGGAUGUGUGGGGGACACUGAGGCCGUUUGGACUGAGGAUUUGGGUUGGUUUGGGAGAAGUAGAUGAGAUGAUCCAGAACGGUAGAAUGGGGACAGACUGGAGGAGGCCUGGAAAAGCCAGGCUAAAGGCUUCUUACAAAGAAUCCCCUGUAAGAACUAGAGAGCCAUGGAUUUCUGUUUUUUAAGCAGACAAAGCGUGUGUUAAAAACAGGUAUAAUCCCCAUCUCAUUUCUCACCAAAGUCUCCCCUCCUCUUAAACACUUCCUCUACUGGAGAUGCUAUAGAAAUUUGUAACCCCUCCAAUUAAAAACAUGAAAAAACAGAUAACCAAGGUUUGGCCAGGCAGAAGUGAGCAGAAAACCUUAGAGAAACACCAGUUCUGCCUUGGGAAGUCUCAGAUCUGUGACUUGAGCUAGAGAGACUUUGGAAGGAUGAGGAAAUCUUUUUCUCUGAGAAUCCUUCGGUAUAAGAUAAAGAUGCCUGGAGGCAGAGUUCAAUGGCAAUAACUGCGAGGAAACCUCUGAAGUCUGACUCUGAGGCCAGGCUCUUUGUUACCUGUCCCCGCCAAGCUUGGGCCAUGUCUACACUGCCCAGAGUCAAGGGGAGCCAUCUGGUUCCAUCAGAGGGCCCAUCCUGGUUUAGUCCCUUCAGGGUCAAUUCUGGGCCAUUUCCACUGGUCUGUGGCCUUAGAUACAUGUGCAUUUAGGAGCUGAGCCUAAAGAUUCUUAAAACCUCUGCUAGGAAGUGAGCUCUGGUUUUUCAAAUGGAGUCCUUUGAAGAGGGUCCCACCAGGGGGGUGAGCGCAUGUGUUCAACUUACAAGCAUUGUUUUGUUAAAUGGCUGUGCUGGGCCUAGGCCUGGGAAUGAAAAGGUAGGUAAGAUUUAGUCCCUGUUCUUGAGGCCCUCUCAGUAUGGUGUGGGAGAUGGAUGUAUAAACACAUAUUGACAAUUUUAUAAGAUAAAGGUUGUGAGAGAGGUAUGUGAAAAAUGCUGAAGCCUAACUGUCCAGUGAGGGGGAGCGGAGUAGGGAGGGAGCAGGGGCGGGGAGGGGCCACAGAUGUGAGGCUCAGGGGCUGCGGGGCCUCUGGAAUGCGGUGCCACGAGAUAUCCAGGCUCUGGACAAUCCUCGAUUGUACCCCCUGCUCCUUGUACCCCCUGCUCCGGAUGGAAGGAGCCGAGGAAUCCGAAGGAGUGAACCCUGGUCCCUCCCAAGGAUUAUGAUUUCCAGGAACAAAGGCAGUUUAUAUAAAGCACACUUCCCCCAAAUCGAAUCUCCCAACCUCUUGUGUCCAGUUCCUUACUCUCCACCCCCCACUCCCACCCAAUAGAGCUGAUUUCUAAAUUAACUUUGUCCUUGUAAUCAGCUUAGCUGAGUUUUUUUAUUAUUACUAUUUUUCCUCCUCCUUCCUGAAUUCUCCCAGGAGCAGCCCGGGGCCCUGCUCGCUCCAUUACCCAGCAUUGUCAAGCCAUGAGGUGCUUUUAACUGCUUCUUCCCAUUCGAUUCGCUUAACUGGGAGGUUAUUAAAAGGAAAGGAGCAGAGAUGGGCAGGCAGGGCAGAGGAACAGAGAACACAGUAGAGAGAGAAGGCUUUUCAAAGGAGCAGAAACCCAAGGCUAGGCAGGCUGGCAGAAUGAAGCCUCUGAGAGAAGCUCAAGUUUUCAUCUUGACUCCCGAGUCAUCCAGAAGGACAUUUCAUCGAGACAUUGGGACUCCUGGGUUUUAAUCCAAAACCUUGAGGAACUGACUUGCUCCUCUUUGUCUCAGUCCUCCCCACUACUCCCCACUCUCCCUGGAAAUCUACCAACUUGACACUGUGGGAUGGGACAGGGGACUUCCAGAGGUCCCACACUCCCCUUGAUGCCCGACCCUCCCACACACACACUCGUGGCUGGCUGUGCUGCCAGCGCCAGAACCCUCCAGCACUCACCCCCAGGGCAGCUACUUUGUGGUUGAUGUUGGAUCCCAGACUGACAUGCCUAUCACACAGCACACAUCUGGGAAGUCUCCCUUCACCAGGCAGUGGGCGAAGUGAGAAUGCAAGCUCAUUUUAAUGUCAGUUUGAGCCAAAUAUAAUUAGAAAGGAAAAUCUCUGACUUUGCAAAAAAACAAAAAAAAA